ACCGGAUGCACCUCGUAGAAAACCACCAGCAAAGAAACUUGCAAACAGACCAGUGAGGGACACUGCACAUACGCAGAAAGUCCUUUUCCCAAAGAUUACUCAGCCACCUAAGAAGGCCUCAACUCAGCAGUCAGAAAAACACUCCAAACACCGGCUUGUUCUGCCCAACAUUCACGCAGCGAAAGACAGCAGCACCGGAAGCAGCAUCAGCAGCGGCCACUCCAGCGUGCACACAUCCACGCAUGGCAACACCGGAAGCAGCAGUAGUGGCUUUUAAAGUGGAGCAAAAAUGUUAGCUCCUAGCGUUGGAAAUUGAGUGGCUAGCGGCGGAAAUUCCUCAGACUAUUGGUAAACUGGUGCAUACAACAGCAAAUGAAGAACUUUACUUAAAGAUAUCUGGAGGAGAGGUAAAUGCCGUGGGUAGAAGUUGCUCCCCAUCUUUCAAGCGCGUGCGUAUUCUCUAUGGACAGCUUUGCGUGGUCCUAGCUUUCAUACUAUGCUUUUCCUUCUACGUCUGCAUGCGACACACUGCCGACGAGUGCAGUGCAGUGGGUGUUGCAAAAGUCACUGAGAAUGUCACCUAAGCAGUCUUGUACCUGUUUUUCGUUUAUAUGGCCAGACAUCCAGACUAGCGUAGAUCAGCGAUGCUGCAGUCGACGGCCGUGUGUGAAAUUGAACCUGUGGUACUGCUUGUAGUGACAUGUAGAACCAGGUCUAGCAUUCUAUAGUCGUUUCUCGAAUGACUCCUCAUAGUACAUGUUCCACUCAAAAGUCAAUAAAUUAUCAUUUUUGCCACUCAGCUCGCUUCCUUUUAUGGGAGUGAGUUGUGUCAUCGAUAACCAUCUAUUUGACACGUCUCGCCAGAGGUACAGGCACAAACUUGCAGACUGUUAUUGGAGGUAUGGAAAUGUGUCGUCCACUGAGCGGCGCUCAUUUCACUGUCGUGUAUCCCUCUCAGCAACUGCGUGAAUGCGAGUUCCUAUCUAGAGCGCGCUGCCAUGACAAUCACCCAGUCCGACGUUACACCUAUCAUUACGAGUAGUCUUGACACGCUAUAUCGAGGAGUUGCUGAUCCAGACCUUUUUCUCCUCCCAAGUUGUUGGUCCAGACCUUUCUGGUUUAUUGGGAAUGUUUCAAGUUUACACGCUCACUUCUUUUUUGUUUUGUUUCCUCUUCCCCUGUCAUUUUAGAAAUUGUCGCUAACGGCUUAACUAUCAACAUGUAAUGAGAAAUGUUGUACACUGUUCUCUUUGACUUUAAGCUGUGGGGUUCCAAGUAACAAAACACUAUUACAGGUAGUAGGUAACACGAGUACAUGU